AAACAUGUGCAAGCAGCCUAUUACUUGCUGCUGCUGGGACUUCAUCUUUGACCAAACUGAUGAUGAUGGUGUUUUCUUUAACUUUGUUUCUUGUUUGGAUUGACAGAACUGUUCUGAGAACUGCAGCUCAAUUCAUUCAUUCGAUGGAACCUGCAAGUGUUUGAACCUCAACGAGUCCCAAGAGGAAUGUGCCUCUCCUGGUUAUGCUAUCAAAGCCCUGCAGUCCCUGCACAAAAGUAUUUCCCAUCAGGAAGCCAUAAAGCAUCUGAUCAAGGCACUGACAAAGUGGAAAACCUUUCCACAGUGUUGGGAAAAUAUGACCUUAUGUUCGUUGCCUGUGAACCUCUCACCAAAAAGCCUUCAUAAGAAACUGGAACACCUGGCACAACUGAAACGCUCAAGUAAAUAACCUCAGUUAUCUGUGGUUACCUGUGAACCUGUUUCUGCUUCAGUCAUUCGAAUUCAUUUACAUUCAGCAAUGACAGAUUAUUCUGCAGUCAUCAGUGUGAUCAUUGUAUGCUUCAAAGCAUAUUUGUCUGACUUUCUUAAAGUAUUUUAUUCCAGCUGGUUACUGAACAGAUGUUCUCACGAUUUAUGAAGCAUAAUUUGGAAUAAGAAUGGACAGUUCUUUUGGUGGAUUUUCACUCAUAUAAGAAGCUAAGCAAGUUUUAAAAAAGAGUCAGAAAAAUGUGUUGGACAGCUUUACAUCCAAUUGAUUAAAAAAAUGCUUGCCAUGUAAUUUAUUUAGGUUUUUAGUCAGUUGUCCAGAUGGAUCAGAAUGAGUAGCCUGGUUUCCUAAAAUUAUCUUCCCAUACAACAAAACUGCAUUGCCAGUUACAUUUCAAAGGAUCCCUGUUUCCCCCAGAUUAUAUUUGUGAUUAGAAAUACAUUUCUAAUCACUAACAGGAGGUUGGGUGGAUGGAUAAAAACACAAGACAACUGUUGGUGUCUCGGAAUAAACCAAAAAUCAAGUUUGACUUAUCUUUAUUCAUAUCUUAACUUAGAUAAUGUACCAAACAUACUUAUUUCGUAGUAUGUCUAGGAAAAGAGUCCCUUGACUCACAUGACUCAAGUGACUAACGACACUAACAACGCUUUGCGUGACUUACGACUGAUAUAACAAAAUAUCAAUGUUUUUAUUUUUAUUUUUUAUAUUUUUAAAGUCGAGACUUAGUAGUCUCAGUCGUAGCAACACCUGAGCAGAAUCAGAUAGUAGGUUAAGUUAAAUGAGUACAUUAUUAAAUGAAAUAAAUCUGCAGUUAUAGGUAAGGAAUAACUCAAUAACUGAUCACGAUCAAUUCAUCUCAUGAACAUGCAUCAUAUAUUUGAUUAUCAUACCUCUUAGUGUGCUGCAUGAUUAAUAUUUAGAUGUAUGAUAAAAGUACUUUUGUGGAUUAGAAAUGGUGUUUUGACAAUAUUGAUGCUGCCCAUGAAAUAUAAUGUAUUGUUUUGGACCUAUUAUUUAUGUUAUUUAUUAUUAAUUUAUCAUUGUGUUGGGCGUACGUUAAUUGAUUUAGCUUUUCAUUAUUUGUCUCCAUAUGGGUGUGGAAAAACAACAGUUGAAUUUAUGAUAAUAAAUAAUGUUAAUUAAGCUGUAUAAAGACUGAACAGUAAUGUACACAGAUCCAUGUUAUCAGGUUCUACCACCAUCCCACCUAAAUGACCAUGUCCUU